rnacentral:rRNA from 1 species
ACCGAGUGCCAGCAUCAUAUGCUGGCUGUCCAGGUGUGUAAAAUACACCUGUUAGCAAGGGCCGGGCAAGACCGGUGCCAGCCGCCGCGGUAACACCGGCGGCCCGAGUGGUGAUCGUGAUUAUUGGGUCUAAAGGGUCCGUAGCCGGUUUGGUCAGUCCUCCGGGAAAUCUGACGGCUUAACCGUUAGGCUUUCGGGGGAUACUGCCAGGCUUGGAACCGGGAGAGGUAAGAGGUACUACAGGGGUAGGAGUGAAAUCUUGUAAUCCCUGUGAGACCACCUGUGGCGAAGGCGUCUUACCAGAACGGGUUCGACGGUGAGGGACGAAAGCUGGGGGCACGAACCGGAUUAGAUACCCGGGUAGUCCCAGCCGUAAACGAUGCUCGCUAGGUGUCAGGCAUGGCGCGACCGUGUCUGGUGCCGCAGGGAAGCCGUGAAGCGAGCCACCUGGGAAGUACGGCCGCAAGGUUGAAACUUAA